rnacentral:tRNA from 1 species
GUCUUCGUGGUGUAGUGGUCAGAACGCUGGUCGCGUAUUCGGGAGGUCCGUGGUUCGAGUCCCGGCGAAGGCG